rnacentral:rRNA from 1 species
UACAUGGGGUGCAAACGUUGCUCGGAAUUAUUGGGCGUAAAGCGCACGUAGGCGGUUCGUUAAGUCGGAUGUGAAAGCCCUCGGCUCAACUGAGGAAGUGCACCCGAAACUGGCGAGCUUGAGUACGAAAGAGGAUCGCGGAAUUCCCGGUGUAGAGGUGAAAUUCGUAGAGAUCCGGAGGAACACCAAAGGCGAAGGCAGUGUCCUGGGGAGUACCUGACGCUCAGGUGCGAAAGCCAGGGGAGCGAACGGG